rnacentral:lncRNA from 1 species
AUUGGAGGCAUUCUACAAGUGGUGAAGAAUUCCUUAGCAGCUACAAAUAUUUCCUCACUUACUAAAUCCCAGUUCCUAGUGAAGAAGAAGAAUUCCUUUGCAGCAGCAAAUAUGUCCUCACUUACUAAAUCCUAGUUCCUAGUAGAAUUCCACUGGUAAACCAUCCACCCCAGGUGCUUUGUCUUUUGGCUUCUCCAUAAUAGUGUCUGUGAUUUCCUCCAUAGUAAUCUCCUGAAUCAGCACUGUCUACUGUGCUCUAGAAAGGCAUGGGCCUUCUUUGAUGAUAUUAAUGUUCACACAAGUUAAUUCCUCUACACAUUCUCCCAUCAAUGUUUGGAAUACUAUGAUAAAUUCCUGUUCCACUUCUUUAGGGUCAGUGAGUUUGAUUCCAGUGUCAGUGUAUACUGAGGUAAUGUUAUUCUGAGAUGUUCUGAUUUUCCAUUGGGCAUGGAAAUAUUUGGUGUUUGCAUCACCACAUUCAAUCCAAACAGCUUUGGAUUUCUGUCUCAUAACAUGUUCCUCCACAGCACUCCACUUCUCAAUUUCUACCAGCAAUGCUUUCUUUUUAUCAAACAGGGCCUGUGAAACUAAGCAUUUCUGUAGUUGGUGAUGGGUAAUAUCCAGUUCCUCUCUAGCCUGCACAAGUCUUCGCUUAUAUGUAGCCAUGUAUGCAUUUAGGUCCCUUAAUUGCUGCUUCAUAACCUUUAGUUUGCUCCAAACCUUCUGCAAAGAUGAUCCCCUGUACUCUGGCUGCCAAACAUUCUGGAUGAUGUGUUGGAAUUGAGGCAGUUCCAUAAUAUUAGUGUACAUUCUGAAUGGCUUGGGAUGUAACAGUUGAUGGUCUCCAAAUUUGAUAAGAAUUGGAGAGUGAUCUGAUACUGAAGGAUUCAUGAAAUCAGCUUCUAAGUGACCAUAAUUCUGUAGCCACUGGUAGUUUCCCAGUGCGCAAUCAAUCUUACUAUAAACUCUUGUAGUAGUACCUUGCUUAUUUGUCCAAGUGUAAUGCCAACCCUUUUCUCUGAGAGGAGCGAGCUGCAAAUCAUUAAUGACAUCUUUAAAACCUUUAAUUUCAGCUUCAGUAAC